CAGUAGCCACGGUAAUACGUAGGGUGCGAGCGUUAAUCGGAAUUACUGGGCGUAAAGCGUGCGCAGGCGGUUCGUUAAGACAGAUGUGAAAUCCCCGGGCUUAACCUGGGAACUGCAUUUGUGACUGGCGAGCUAGAGUAUGGCAGAGGGGGGUAGAAUUCCACGUGUAGCAGUGAAAUGCGUAGAGAUGUGGAGGAAUACCGAUGGCGAAGGCAGCCCCCUGGGCCAAUACUGACGCUCAUGCACGAAAGCGUGGGGAGCAAACGGGAUUAGAUACCCCCGUAGUCCCUGUCUCUUAUAC
rnacentral:rRNA from 1 species